GCUCUUGUUUCAUUAAGUAUCCAUUAUGGUGUUUUUAGGUACUUGUCUGCACAAUAACUCUGGCAUGGGGUGUCAAUCUACCUGCUCACAGGUACAUUGCUACAUGCACGGUGUUGUGAAAGUGUGAAGUCCACAGUAUCACACAACAUGCCUGCACGGUGUUGCUACAUGCCUUGCUAGAUGACUGCUUUCAUUUUUUUU
rnacentral:lncRNA from 1 species